AGUGGCAGACGGGUGAGUAACACGUGGGAACGUACCUUUCGGUUCGGAAUAAUUCAGGGAAACUUGGACUAAUACCGGAUAAGCCCUUCGGGGAAAGGAUUUAUCGCCGAUAGAUCGGCCCGCGUCUGAUUAGCUAGUUGGUGAGGUAAUGGCUCACCAAGGCGACGAUCAGUAGCUGGUCUGAGAGGAUGAUCAGCCACAUUGGGACUGAGACACGGCCCAAACUCCUACGGGAGGCAGCAGUGGGGAAUAUUGGACAAUGGGCGAAAGCCUGAUCCAGCCAUGCCGCGUGUGUGAUGAAGGCCUUAGGGUUGUAAAGCACUUUUGCCGGGAAUGAUAAUGACUGUACCGGAAGAAUAAGCCCCGGCUAACUUCGUGCCAGCAGCCGCGGUAAUU
rnacentral:rRNA from 1 species